AGAGUUUGAUCCUGGCUCAGAACGAACGCUGGCGGCGCGCUUAACACAUGCAAGUCGAACGGGAUCGAGGGGCUUGCUCUUCGAUCAAGUGGCGCACGGGUGAGUAACGCGUGGAUAACCUGCCUUGGCAUCCGGGAUAACAUAUCGAAAGGGGUGCUAAUACCGGAUAAGCCCACGGGGUCCUCGGACCCUGCGGGAAAAGGAAGCCUCUGAUUCAAGCUUCUGCACCAGGAAGGGUCCGCGUCCCAUUAGCUAGUUGGCGGGGUAACGGCCCACCAAGGCGACGAUGGGUAGCUGGUCUAAGAGGACGAACAGCCACACUGGAACUGAGACACGGUCCAGACUCCUACGGGAGGCAGCAGUGGGGAAUUUUGCGCAAUGGGCGAAAGCCUGACGCAGCGACGCCGCGUGAGUGAUGAAGGCCUUCGGGUCGUAAAGCUCUGUCGGAGGGGAAGAAAUGGAAGGGUGCUAAUAUCAUCUUUCCUUGACGGUACCCUCAAGGAAGCACCGGCUAACUCCGUGCCAGCAGCCGCGGUA
rnacentral:rRNA from 1 species